rnacentral:rRNA from 1 species
GAACUUAAGCAUAUCAAUAAGCGGAGGAAAAGAAACCAACAGGGAUUGCCUUAGUAACGGCGAGUGAAGCGGCAACAGCUCAAAUUUGAAAUCUGGCCUCACGGCCCGAGUUGUAAUUUGUAGAGGAUGCUUCGAGCAUGGUCUGGUCUAAGUUCCUUGGAACAGGACGUCAUAGAGGGUGAGAAUCCCGUAUGCGACUAGGUGCCUAAGCUCAUGUGAAGCUCCUUCGACGAGUCGAGUUGUUUGGGAAUGCAGCUCAAAAUGGAUGGUAAAUUUCAUCUAAAGCUAAAUACUGGCCAGAGACCGAUAGCGCACAAGUAGAGUGAUCGAAAGAUGAAAAGCACUUUGGAAAGAGAGUUAAACAGUACGUGAAAUUGUUGAAAGGGAAGCGCUUGCAACCAGACUUGCAUGCAGUCGAUCAUCCAGUGUUCUCACUGGUGCACUCGAUUGCAUUCAGGCCAGCAUCGGUUUUGGUGGUUGGAUAAAGGCCUAGGGAAUGUAGCUCCUCUUGGGGAGUGUUAUAGCCCUAGGUGCAAUGCGACCUACUGGGACCGAGGACCGCGCUUUGGCUAGGAUGCUGGCGUAAUGGUUGUAAGCGACCCGUCUUGAAACACGGACCAAGGAGUCUAACAUCUAUGCGAGUGUUUGGGUGUAAAACCCAUGCGCGUAAUGAAAGUGAACGGAGGUGAGAACCCUUUAGGGUGCAUCAUCGACCGAUCCUGAUGUCUUCGGAUGGAUUUGAGUAAGAGCAUAGCUGUUGGGACCCGAAA